rnacentral:lncRNA from 1 species
AGCAGAAUUGAGGUCAUUAAAACGUAACCUCCAGUGACAUCACCAAUAUAGGCGAUGGCCAGCCUCCAAUAUCAACGGAAUCCUGUCUCCAACUUGAAAGCGAUAGGAAUAAAUUUCUGCAAGACCUCCAAGCAUCGAGUCUCCGUCUCACGAUAUUUGGUUGUUUACAGCUCACAAAUUUCUCCCGAAAAUCUUCUCAAAGAACGCACUUUGGGUUUGAGAAUUGAGGGGGGCUUCCUUUCUCUCUCCUUCUAUAUUUCUUUAUUCCUUUGG